GAUGAAGAACGUAGCGAAAUGCGAUAAGUAAUGCGAAUUGCAGAAUUCCAGUGAAUCAUCGAAUCUUUGAACGCACAUUGCGCCCCCUGGUAUUCCGGGGGGCAUGCCUGUUCGAGCGUCAUUUCACCACUCAAGCCUCGCUUGGUAUUGGGCAAUGCGGUCCGCCGCCUGCCUCAAAUCGACCGGCUGGGUCUUCUGUCCCCUAAGCGUUGUGGAAACUAUUCGCUAAAGGGUGUUCGGGAGGCUACGCCGUAAAACAACCCCAUUUCUAAGGUUGACCUCGGAUCAGGUAGGGAUACCCGCUGAACUUAAGCAUAUCAAUAAGCGGACGA
rnacentral:misc_RNA from 1 species